UACGUAGGCAGCAAGCGUUGUUCGGAGUUACUGGGCGUAAAGGGUGUGUAGGCGGUUGUUUAAGUUUGGUGUGAAAUCUCCCGGCUCAACCGGGAGGGUGCGCCGAAUACUGAAUGACUAGAGUGCGGAAGAGGAAAGUGGAAUUCCUGGUGUAGCGGUGAAAUGCGUAGAUAUCAGGAGGAACACCGGUGGUGUAGACGGCUUUCUGGACCGUAACUGACGCUGAGACACGAAAGCGUGGGUAGCAAACAGG
rnacentral:rRNA from 1 species